CACGUAGGAGGCGAGCGUUGUCCGGAAUCAUUGGGCGUAAAGAGCGCGCAGGCGGCCCCGGCAAGUCGGGUGUGAAAUCCCGGGGCUCAACCCCGGGACUGCAUUCGAUACUGUCGGGCUAGAGGUAGGUAGGGGAGAGUCGGAAUUCCUGGUGUAGCGGUGGAAAUGACGCAGAUAUCAGGAGGAACACCGGUGGCGAAGGCGGAUCUCUGGGCCUUACCUGACGCUCAGGCGCGAAAAGCUAGGGGGAGCGAACAGG
rnacentral:rRNA from 1 species